rnacentral:rRNA from 1 species
GUAACACGUGGGUAACCUGCCUCGUAGAGGGGAAUAGCCUUCCGAAAGGAAGAUUAAUACCGCAUAAGAUUGUAGUUUCGCAUGAAACAGCAAUUAAAGGAGUAAUCCGCUAUGAGAUGGACCCGCGUCGCAUUAGCUAGUUGGUGAGGUAACGGCUCACCAAGGCGACGAUGCGUAGCCGACCUGAGAGGGUGAUCGGCCACAUUGGAACUGAGACACGGUCCAGACUCCUACGGGAGGCAGCAGUGGGGAAUAUUGCACAAUGGGCGAAAGCCUGAUGCAGCAACGCCGCGUGAGUGAUGAAGGCCUUCUGGUUGUAAAGCUCUGUCUUUGGGGACGAUAAUGACGGUACCCAAGGAGGAAGCCACGGCUAACUACGUGCCAGCAGCCGCGGUAAUACGUAGGUGGCAACCGUCGUCCGGAUUUACUGGGCGUAAAGGAUGCGUAGGUGGAUAUUUAAGUCAGAUGUGAAAUACCCGAGCUCAACUUGGGUGCUGCAUUUGAAACUGGAUAUCUAGAGUGCAGGAGAGGUAAGUGGAAUUCCUAGUGUAGCGGUGAAAUGCGUAGAGAUUAGGAAGAACACCAGUGGCGAAGGCGACUUACUGGACUGUAACUGACACUGAGGCAUGAAAGCGUGGGGAGCAAGCAGGAUUAGAUACCCUGGUAGUCCACGCCGUAAACGAUGAGUACUAGGUGUAGGGGGUAUCGACUCCCUCUGUGCCGCAGUUAACACAAUAAGUACUCCGCCUGGGAAGUACGGUCGCAAGAUUAAAACUCAAAGGAAUUGACGG